rnacentral:rRNA from 1 species
UACGGAGGGUGCAAGCGUUGCUCGGAAUUAUUGGGCGUAAAGGGUAGGUAGGUGGUCUCAUUUGUCUGGGGUGAAAGCCUUGAGCUUAACUCAAGAAGUGCCCCAGAAACGGUGAGACUAGAGUCCUGGAGAGGGUCGUUGAAUUCCCGGUGUAGCGGUGAAAUGCGUAGAGAUCGGGAGGAACACCAGAGGCGAAGGCGGCGACCUGGACAGGCACUGACACUCAACUACGAAAGCGUGGGGAGCAAACAGG